CGUGAAGCUCACAUCACCUCCACUCAAGGAAGGGGCCCACAUUCCGCCCCGGCUCCUUUUCUGCGCCCUCCUGGGGUGGGCUGCGUGUCUGGGGGACUCGCUUGCUCUGUGUUGAGCUGGGGUGGGGGCUCGCAAUUGACCAGGUGUCCAGCAGCCUCAUUCACCCAUUGCUGAGAACGGGGACACCCAGCUGCGGGGCGCAGGCUGCUGAGGCGCCGGGUGCCAGUGCACGCGCUUGCGGCACCGCCGAGGCGCCAGAGGCCGACCGACCUGAAGGUGGAGCGCAAGGUGCGCGAGAGGCCCCUGCAGGACAAGCGGGCCACGGGUGGGCCAUCCCCUGGGCUGGAGAAGGCGGCGUAGUACACUGUGAAGAACAGGAGGAGCUCGGGGGAGGCGCCAUCUGUCCCCUCAGUGAGGCCUGCGGCGGGCACCCGGCUUUUAUAACCUCCCUGUGCGUCACAAUGCCCUCCUCCUGAUGUCACAGCCGCACCCCUGGCCAAUCGCCACGUGGCUCUCAGCUCAGUCUUGGUAGUGUGGCUAAUCACCAGGCAAGUUGGCCAGCAAAUCUCCAGGCAGCUGUCACUGCCCUCCUGAGCCACUGGCCCGACGCCAUCCCCCAUCCCUUGGCCCUCGCGCAGCCGACUCUCUCCCCUUCAUUGCAGAGCCCUAAUUUCACAGGCAGAGCAACCGGAUAUGGGGGCGGUGACCCGCCAAUGUAGGGCACCCCAACCCGGUGCACCCAGGACCCUCGGGGAUCUGCGAGCCAGCAGGGGGCAGGCUUUUUUGUCACCUGCUUCUGCCAUCUGAGAGUCCGUUCUGAGGACGGGACCCCGGGAAAGGGAGCUCCAGCGCAGGCUGGGCGGGCUGCAUGCGGCCUGGGGCAAGGACAGAGGAGGCAGACUCAAAGAAGAGGAAGGGUCCUCACGCCAGGGGCAGAGGACAACUGAGGGAGUAGGCUGCCCAUCUGAGAAGGUGGAAGUACCUUCCUGGACGGCACCCAUCACCCCUCCUAUGCAGUUGUCUGCCCCUUCCCCAACGCUGUGGUCCUCAGCGAAGACUUUAGCCCCGCUCACUGCUGGCACCACCACACCCCUGUCGUCAUUUCGGUGACUUCUACAUCCACAAUGACAAUCCAUUAUCUACACCUGGACGUUUGGUCCUUGACCUCCUUGCUUCCUGUUGCAAACAUUUUCUGUAUUUUCCCCAGCAGUCGUUUCUUUCCUCUACACUGAAUAACAGUAAUUCUAAUAAAUAAAAUGUAACUCGUACUGGUCUCCUGAUGCCAUGGGCUCAGAGGGAGUGGCCCAUUCCCAGGGAAUGAAUCUUGACUGGAGGGAAUCAGUCACGGUCCUCCCCUUCCACUUUGCUAGGAGUGGCUGAGAGCAAAGAGGGCAUUUGACCCAGGUCUGGCCAAUAGGGCCAGAGAGGACGCCUCUGUAGGAGGCAGGUGGUGUUUGGGAAAGUUUUCUCUCUUUAACUAAAGAAAGGCAGAUGGGAGGAAUCAGUCAUCGUUCUCUGCCUUUGACCUGGUGGGGUGAGUAUGUGCUGUUAGCAGCUGUAGCAGCCACAGUGAGACCCUGAGGAAAGAGGUGGAGAGAAUCCCAGAGGAGCUGAGGUAAGACUGCCCCUGAUGCAUUCAUCAGCCCUGGGGUCUCCCGACCCUGGGCUCCUUGUUGGUGAGAUCAUAGCCACCUUCAUUGAAGCCACUUUGGGCCAGAAAUUCUGUGACAUGAAGCUGAAGGCACCCGAGCUGAUCCACCUCAUCCCCAUAGUGAUCUAAAUAUCUACAUGUUUCUUGGGCUGAUUCCACUAACUACCAAAAUGUGUGUUUCUCCUGAUGAGACAUAGACCGCUGUAGGUCAAAGUCAUGUCUCAUUCUGUUGUGUCCUCCAGGGUCCUAGCAUCUUGCUUCCCUUGGAGUCAGUGCUAAACAUGUGUAAUGAAUACAAGUGUGUAACGAAUGGUUUACAGUCGGGGCCAUCGACAGAGCACAGC
ensembl:lncRNA